GAUGAACGCUGGCGGCGUGCUUAACACAUGCAAGUCGAACGAUGAAGACCGUGCUUGCACGGUUGGAUUAGUGGCGAACGGGUGAGUAUCACGUGAGUAACCUUCCCUUAACUCUGGGAUAAGCCCGGGAAACUGGGUCUAAUACCGGAUACGACCAGUCCUCGCAUGGGGUGCUGGUGGAAAGAUUUAUCGGUUUUGGAUGGACUCGCGGCCUAUCAGCUUGUUGGUGAGGUAAAGGCUCACCAAGGCGAUGACGGGUAGCCGGCCUGAGAGGGUGACCGGCCACACUGGGACUGAGACACGGCCCAGACUCCUACGGGAGGCAGCAGUGGGGAAUAUUGCACAAUGGGCGAAAGCCUGAUGCAGCGACGCCGCGUGCGGGAUGACGGCCUUCGGGUUGUAAACCGCUUUCAGCAGGGAAGAAGCGCAAGUGACGGUACCUGCAGAAGAAGCGCCGGCUAACUACGUGCCAGCAGCCGCGGUAAUACGUAGGGCGCGAGCGUUAUCCGGAAUUAUUGGGCGUAAAGAGCUCGUAGGCGGUUUGUCACGUCUGCUGUGAAAGCCCGGGGCUCAACCCCGGGUGUGCAGUGGGUACGGGCAGACUAGAGUGCAGUAGGGGAGACUGGAAUUCCUGGUGUAGCGGUGAAAUGCGCAGAUAUCAGGAGGAACACCGAUGGCGAAGGCAGGUCUCUGGGCUGUUACUGACGCUGAGGAGCGAAAGCAUGGGGAGCGAACAGGAUUAGAUACCCUGGUAGUCCAUGCCGUAAACGUUGGGCACUAGGUGUGGGGGACAUUCCACGUUUUCCGCGCCGUAGCUAACGCAUUAAGUGCCCCGCCUGGGGAGUACGGCCGCAAGGCUAAAACUCAAAGGAAUUGACGGGGGCCCGCACAAGCGGCGGAGCAUGCGGAUUAAUUCGAUGCAACGCGAAGAACCUUACCAAGGCUUGACAUGGACCGGACCGCUGCAGAGAUGCAGUUUCCCUUCGGGGUCGGUUCACAGGUGGUGCAUGGUUGUCGUCAGCUCGUGUCGUGAGAUGUUGGGUUAAGUCCCGCAACGAGCGCAACCCCUAUCCUAUGUUGCCAGCACGUCAUGGUGGGGACUCAUGGGAGACUGCCGGGGUCAACUCGGAGGAAGGUGGGGACGACGUCAAAUCAUCAUGCCCCUUAUGUCUUGGGCUUCACGCAUGCUACAAUGGCCGGUACAAUGGGUUGCGAUACUGUGAGGUGGAGCUAAUCCCUAAAAGCCGGUCUCAGUUCGGAUCGAAGUCUGCAACUCGACUUCGUGAAGUUGGAGUCGCUAGUAAUCGCAGAUCAGCAACGCUGCGGUGAAUACGUUCCCGGGCCUUGUACACACCGCCCGUCAAGUCACGAAAGUGGGUAACACCCGAAGCCGGUGGCCUAACCCUUGUGGGGGGAGCCGUCGAAGGUGGGACUCGCGAUUGGGACU
rnacentral:rRNA from 1 species